UACAGAGGUGGCAAGCGUUGUUCGGAAUUACUGGGCGUAAAGGGCGCGUAGGCGGCCUUCUAAGUCAGACGUGAAAUCCCUCGGCUCAACCGGGGAACUGCGUCCGAUACUGGUGGGCUCGAAUCCGGGAGAGGGAUGUGGAAUUCCAGGUGUAGCGGUGAAAUGCGUAGAUAUCUGGAGGAACACCGGUGGCGAAGGCGGCAUCCUGGACCGGUAUUGACGCUGAUGCGCGAAAGCCAGGGGAGCAAACGGG
rnacentral:rRNA from 1 species